AGUAGCACAAUGGAGUGUAUGUGAAAUGAAGUGCCAGAUUUAACAAAAAGAAAAUGAACAAGAUGAAAGCAAAAACUCUAACUUUCUUUGUAAGGCAUCCCCAAGAAUUCACAUCCAUAUUGAAUGAAUUAAACUAAAAGACAUUCCAGAAGAACAAAUGUUUAUGAGAAGGUGAUUUCAUGAAUAUUUUGAAGUCAAGAACAAAUUGCUUAAUAGAAUUUUAUGAUGCAAAAUAUUCUAAAAGAAGAAAAAUGUUCACUCCAAACUAAGUCUCCACAAAACAUUGCCAUCCUUAUUAUUUUUAAGCUGCUUGACUGCCAGCAUGCUACUGACAGAGUCUGAAGGAAACUACAUGAAAACGUGGAUAUAUGGGAGCUUACUAGGCUGUCUUUGAGUCAAUAUUAAAGUGUAAAAACUCUGCACUUCCAUUCAGUGGCUUUUCUCUCUUACUGUUCACAUCACAUCAAAUUCUUUCCUAAAUUUUAU